rnacentral:misc_RNA from 1 species
GACGGAGGGUGCAAACGUUGUUCGGAAUCACUGGGCGUAAAGGGCGCGCAGGCGGACCCGCAAGUCGGGAGUGAAAUCUCGGGGCUCAACCCCGAGCCUGCUUCCGAAACUACGAGUCUUGAGGACCGGAGAGGAAAGUGGAAUUCCCAGUGUAGCGGUGGAAUGCGUAGAUAUUGGGAAGAACACCAGUGGCGAAGGCGACUUUCUGGACGGUUCCUGACGCUGAGGCGCGAAAGCUAGGGGAGCAAACAGG